rnacentral:tRNA from 1 species
GUGGGUAUAGCUCAGUUGGUAGAGCCCCGGAUUGUGAUUCCGGUUGUCGUGGGUUCGAGUCCCAUUAUCCACCCCA